GACAGAGAUCCUACGUGGGGAGCCUGUACCCAGUGACUCCCAUUGUUGAUUUAACAAUUGGCACUCUUAUUUAUGACGUCAGCAAUCACCCGAGACUCUUGCUAUGAGCUGUCUAGGCUAUGGAAGCCCUUGAGUUCACCAACUCUGAACUUGUUUAGUCAAGGCUGUAUCACAGUGGAGGUUCCUUCCUCCCUUCAGAGAAAGGCGCCUCUCUCCUUGAUGACCUGAUCCUUCUGCUGAGCAGCCUGUUGAAAUCCUCGCUUAGUGUAUACUAAGUUGAUCUUCAGUAUAUGAAGAUAAAGCAAAAAUAAAACAAAACAAUGCAGUAAAUCUGUAUUUGCUGAAAUGGAAUGGUCUUCAAGAUACAUGCUAGAAAAUCCAGGAGGAAGGCAUUACAAGAGAUCCUUGGUGUGGUUCUUAGAAUUCAAGCUUUUCAAGGCAAACAGAAAGGGCUGGAGAGAAGAACGAGUCAGGCAGAUGGAGGGAAAAAAUCCCCACAUUAUCUUACAACACAUCUUCCACACUGCGGUUGCUAUGAGGACAAAAACAGCGAUAUGCUUUGAAAAGCACCAUGUGUGAUAUGACUGAGAGGCAAAUUUAUGAACCUGUUGGAUGGAUUCAUGGCUCAAGGUCCUUGCUGUGCCAGACCUACAGACUAAAGAAGGAAGCGUAGGGCGAUGGAUGGACCCUUCAAGUGUCUUUCACCUUGCCUACCUUGGAGAAAGUAGAAAUGUUUUCCCAAAAAGGAAGGGGUAAGUGACCACAAAUUAUGGUAUGUUCGAUCGAUAACUACUGAUCAUACCUACCACAUCUCCUCUCAUCAUUCCUGAUACAAUUUGAGUCCAUUGUAUUUUGUCCAAUGUCUACAAUAGCUCAAAGUGCUCAGUAUCACAGUGAGUUUAUUCUGGAAACGAUGAGUUCUCCACAGAGACGUGGACAAAGAAAUGUAAUUAAAAGCCUUAUCAACUUUAUAUCAUCAUGUCCUUGUUUUCUAUACUGCUCUCGAUAAGUACAGAAAAUGGAAAUAGGUAAUUACUUUUCUCUGAUAGAGAAUUACAUGGGGAUAGGUGCCUGU